rfam:Picea glauca, whole genome shotgun sequence.
CAAAUGGCCUUCUUUAAGGCCAUUUGAUACAUUUUAAUAUUUUUAG